ACCAGUCACCGGACAUGAAGGCCUGGCAGCAAGGAACAAUGGGAAACAACAAUGUGUUCAGUCAAGCCGUCCAGAGCCAGCCUGCCCCUGCACAGCCAGGAGUGUACAACAACAUGAGCAUCACCGUGUCCAUGGCAGGUGGAAACGCAAACGUUCAGAACAUGAAUCCAAUGAUGGGCCAGAUGCAAAUGAGCUCUCUGCAGAUGCCAGGGAUGAACACUGUGUGCUCUGAGCAGAUGAAUGAUCCAGCACUGAGACACACAGGCCUCUACUGCAACCAGCUCUCAUCCACUGACCUUCUCAAAACCGAAGCAGAUGGAAACCAGGACAAGAAGACAGAAGAGUUCUUCUCUGUGGUGACUACAGACUAGAGGAGCUCUAGUGCAGCAGCUUCAGGUGUUUGCUGACGUCCAGUGUACAGUGAACCUGGUAGGCGGGGACCCUUACCUGAACCAGCCUGGUCCUCUGGGAACUCAAAAACCCACGUCAGGACCACAGACCCCCCAGGCCCAGCAGAAGAGCCUCCUUCAGCAGCUACUGACUGAAUAACCACUUUUAAAGGAAUGUGAAAUUUAAAUAAUAGACAUGCAGAGUUAUACAAAUAUAUUAUAUAUUUUUCUGAGAUUUUUGAUAUCUCAAUCUGCAGCCAUUCUUCAGGUCGUAGCAUUUGGAGCAAAAAAAAAAAAAAAAAA
rnacentral:lncRNA from 1 species